CCGCCUUGUGGAGGCCGGAGACCGGGGGCGGGGCCGGGCCCUGGGGCGGCGGGUGGGACCGGCGCUGAAUGGCGUCCUCGAAGGGCUCUGGGGUCGUCGAGGGCAGAGGAAGGGAUUAACAGAGGAAGGUUUCACUCGACAUCCUUCGGCUGUCUAUGAACGGCGCUAAUCCAGGAGGUGGCGGUAACACACGAGAAAAAGGCAGAGAAGAAGUCGACCGGUCGUCACUAAAUAUGGAUAUAUGAACAUAAAGGAUUUCAUUUUCCGCUCCAACAUUGUUUUUUAAGGAACUGCAUCCCAUUAAAUAAACCUUCUACUUCUCUACCAGAUGGAAUAAAGAGAGUAAAACCCC